rnacentral:rRNA from 1 species
ACGGGGAGCAGCAGGCGCGAAAACUCUCCAAUGUGCGAAAGCGUGAGAGGGGAACUCCUAGUGCUACAGGUUUAACCUGUGGCUUUUGCCAAGUGUAAAUAGCUUGGCGAAUAAGUGGUGGGCAAGACUGGUGCCAGCAGCGCGGUAA